GGAGGGGUGUCCGAGUGGUUGAAGGAGCUCGUCUCGAAAACGAGUGGGCGUUACAAGCGUCUCGUGGGUUCGAAUCCCACCCCCUCCG
rnacentral:tRNA from 1 species